UCCGAGAUCGUCUAACGGCAGGACACGAGACUCUGAAUCUCGUUAUCUAGGUUCGAAUCCUAGUCUCGGAA
rfam:Parcubacteria (Magasanikbacteria) bacterium GW2011_GWA2_46_17 TX39_C0012, whole genome shotgun sequence.